rnacentral:tRNA from 1 species
GGCCGAGUGGUUAAGGUUUGUGCCUGCUAAGUACAUGGGGUUUCUCUGUGAGAGUUCGAAUCUCUC